rnacentral:rRNA from 1 species
ACGCUGGCGGCAGGCCUAACACAUGCAAGUCGAGCGGAAACGACACUAACAAUCCUUCGGGUGCGUUAAUGGGCGUCGAGCGGCGGACGGGUGAGUAAUGCCUAGGAAAUUGCCUUGAUGUGGGGGAUAACCAUUGGAAACGAUGGCUAAUACCGCAUGAUGCCUACGGGCCAAAGAGGGGGACCUUCGGGCCUCUCGCGUCAAGAUAUGCCUAGGUGGGAUUAGCUAGUUGGUGAGGUAAUGGCUCACCAAGGCGACGAUCCCUAGCUGGUCUGAGAGGAUGAUCAGCCACACUGGAACUGAGACACGGUCCAGACUCCUACGGGAGGCAGCAGUGGGGAAUAUUGCACAAUGGGCGCAAGCCUGAUGCAGCCAUGCCGCGUGUAUGAAGAAGGCCUUCGGGUUGUAAAGUACUUUCAGUUGUGAGGAAGGGUGUGUAGUUAAUAGCUGCACAUCUUGACGUUAGCAACAGAAGAAGCACCGGCUAACUCCGUGCCAGCAGCCGCGGUAAUACGGAGGGUGCGAGCGUUAAUCGGAAUUACUGGGCGUAAAGCGCAUGCAGGUGGUUCAUUAAGUCAGAUGUGAAAGCCCGGGGCUCAACCUCGGAACUGCAUUUGAAACUGGUGAACUAGAGUACUGUAGAGGGGGGUAGAAUUUCAGGUGUAGCGGUGAAAUGCGUAGAGAUCUGAAGGAAUACCAGUGGCGAAGGCGGCCCCCUGGACA